UACGAAGGGGGCUAGCGUUGCUCGGAAUCACUGGGCGUAAAGCGCACGUAGGCGGCUUUCUAAGUCGGGGGUGAAAUCCUGGAGCUCAACUCCAGAACUGCCUUUGAUACUGAGGAUCUUGAGUUCGGGAGAGGUGAGUGGAACUGCGAGUGUAGAGGUGAAAUUCGUAGAUAUUCGCAAGAACACCAGUGGCGAAGGCGGCUCACUGGCCCGAUACUGACGCUGAGGCACGAAAGCGUGGGGAGCAAACAGG
rnacentral:rRNA from 1 species